GGGCUGGAGAGGCGGGCGGGCUCUGGAUUAUCGGGAGCCCCUGACUGGGCCGAGCCUCGGUCUGGAGGCCGAUGGAGACGUUUUCGACUUCCUGUUCCAGGCACUGACCAUGCAGCUCUGGAAUCCCAAGACUGACCUUGUGCAAGUAGAAAGUCCACAGUUCCCAGAUGGCCUUCGGAGGCAGCCAUCAUCAGGGGAGUACGACCUUGCUUGUCCGCCAUGUUGACAUCAGCUCCAUGGUUCCUGUCUAGAACUCACCCCUACCUGAGGGACUGGAAGUAGCUACCCUGCUUACCUGCCAGUGGCCCUGGCGAACAGUGCUGAACAGGGGCACUGCCCCUCGGCGGUUUGGCUGGGCCACUGCUGCCCCC